rnacentral:rRNA from 1 species
UGAGUAACGCGUGAGGAACCUGCCUUUCGGAGGGGGACAACAGUUGGAAACGACUGCUAAUACCGCAUGAUACAUUUGGGCCGCAUGGUCUGAAUGUCAAAGAUUUAUCGCCGAAAGAUGGCCUCGCGUCUGAUUAGCUAGUUGGUGGGGUAACGGCCCACCAAGGCGACGAUCAGUAGCCGGACUGAGAGGUUGGCCGGCCACAUUGGGACUGAGAUACGGCCCAGACUCCUACGGAAGGCAGCAG